GAAGUGGCGUUAUUUUCCCCUUUAUUGAAAAUGAAGACUCUGGACUUUGAGAAGUGAAGGGAUUUUCCCCAGACUCUCCAAUGGCUUUAUUCUCUCAGCCUUGAAUUCUUUGAUUUAUUUCAGCUGAGGCAUGUUUUGAAAGAGACCGAGCUCAGUCGCGGACCUGUGUCCUAGCUCUCCAUCCGACAAACUCUCCAGCUUGCUACAAGACCUCUGCCUUUGGAACAAUCUGAUGACCUUUCCAAUUCAGGUACGCCGCUGUCACAUUAUAAUAGAUGAGGCGGAGACCCAAUUCUCUUCAGCGCACGGGAUGCGUGCGGACGAUGCCAGACGCUCACGGGAAACCCUGUGGUUGCUGCCCCGGCCGCUGAAGCAGGUCACUGAAUUCAAGGGAAGUGGACACCCAGCUGGCUGCCUGCAGCGGACGUCGGGGCGGUGAGGAUUCUUUCCGGAUGAAAGGCGUCCAGCGCAUCCCCCUGUCAGCAGGUGGCCACUCGGUUUCCUCAGAGGAGGCGGACAAGCGGGGCUCGGCAGUGGUUUCCGUAUGUGACGUGUCAGACGUCGCACAGUAGAUUUGUCAGCUCUGGGCUGUGGAGCCCCAGGCUCAUGGCCCCAUCCCUCCUGCUCCCACACAGCCCCUGAGCGGGCACUGGGCUGGCC